CAGAGUUCAUGCCCUUUGGGGUAGACCUCCCACCCUUGUAUAUUUAUACCUUUGUUGCUUUGGUAGGCCGUUGGGCUUCGGCUUAGCUACCGGCUCCGGCUGGUGAGUGCCUACCAGAGGAUACCAAAACUCUGAAUGUUAGUGUCGUCUGAGUACUAUAUAAUAGUUA
rnacentral:misc_RNA from 1 species